AGCAGCCGCGGUAAUUCCAGCUCCAAUAGCGUAUAUUAAAGUUGUUGCAGUUAAAAAGCUCGUAGUUGAAUUUCGGGACUAACAGAUUGGUCGCGCCUUUGGUGUGUACUGGUCUAGUUGGUUUCUCCCUUCUGACGAACCACGAUGUCAUUAAUUUGGUGUCGUGGGAAAUCAGGACUGUUACUUUGAAAAAAUUAGAGUGUUUAAAGCAAGCGCUAGCUUGAAUACAUUAGCAUGGAAUAAUGAAAUAGGACGUUCGAUCCUAUUUUGUUGGUUUCUAGGAUUGACGUAAUGAUUAAUAGGGAUAGUUGGGGGCAUUAGUAUUCAAUUGUCAGAGGUGAAAUUCUUGGAUUUAUUGAAGACUAACUA
rnacentral:rRNA from 1 species